CUGAGGCAGCAACACCGCGUGAAGGAUGAAGGCCUUCGGGUCGUAAACUUCUUUUCUGGGGGAAGAGAAAGGACGGUACCCCAGGAAUAAGUCUCGGCUAACUACGUGCCAGCAGCCGCGGUAAAACGUAGGAGGCGAGCGUUAUCCGGAUUUAUUGGGCGUAAAGCGCAUGCAGGCGGUUUCCAAAGUCGGACGUGAAAGCUCCUGGCUCAACUAGGAGAGGCCGUUCGAAACUAGGGGACUUGAGGAUGGUAGAGGUGAGUGGAGUUCCCGGUGUAGUGGUGAAAUGCGUAGAUAUCGGGAGGAACACCAGUGGCGAAGGCGGCUCACUGGGCCAUUCCUGACGCUCAGAUGCGAAAGCUAGGGGAGAGAACGGGAUUAGAAACCCCGGUAUUCCUAGCCGUAAACGAUGUCAACUAGGCGUAGGCGGUUAUUGACCCCGUCUGUGCUGCAGCUAACGCGUUAAGUUGACCGCCUGGGGACUACGGCCGCAAGGCUA
rnacentral:rRNA from 1 species